GACGAACGCUGGCGGCGUGCUUAACACAUGCAAGUCGAACGGAAAGACCCUGCUUUUGUGGGGUGCUCGAGUGGCGAACGGGUGAGUAACACGUGAGUAACCUGCCCUUGACUUUGGGAUAACUUCAGGAAACUGGGGCUAAUACCGGAUAGGAGCUCCUGGUGCAUGGUGGGGGUUGGAAAGUUUCGGCGGUUGGGGAUGGACUCGCGGUUUAUCAGCUUGUUGGUGGGGUAGUGGCUUACCAAGGCUUUGACGGGUAGCCGGCCUGAGAGGGUGACCGGCCACAUUGGGACUGAGAUACGGCCCAGACUCCUACGGGAGGCAGCAGUGGGGAAUAUUGCACAAUGGGCGGAAGCCUGAUGCAGCAACGCCGCGUGCGGGAUGACGGCCUACGGGUUGUAAACCGCUUUCGCCUGUGACGAAGCGUGAGUGACGGUAAUGGGUAAAGAAGCACCGGCUAACUACGUG
rnacentral:rRNA from 1 species